GAACGACUGCUAUAAGAGUCGCCUCAUCAUCAUCUGUGUCUCAGUGGCUGCCUUUAUCAUUCUGAUAAUCAGUUUUGUCGUCAUAUUGCUGUGCUUGAAGAGGAGCAAAUACUACGACCGAUGCUUCAGGUCACAUCUGUGAUGCUACAGAGCUACUGCGGGCUGUGCAGGGUAGGUGACCCUCUUCCAGCAAGACAUCACGGGGUUUGAUUCAUUCAUUUCAUUUGUAGUGUGUAGUAUCAGUACACAAUAUAUUUCAUGAUUUGUUGUAACAGUAUUAAAAAGUAA